UAGAAACGUGAAGUUUUUCUUGGAGUGGUCCUUAUUUUAGGGACUUGUCAACCCUUAAUAAUUGUUCAAAAGACAUAAGUGGAUAUUCAAGAUAUUUUAAAGUUGGAACUGCGUGUAAUAUUCAACCGAGAUUGACCCCCUGCUGUACAGAUCGGGGUACUUCGAAUUCGACGUAAAAGUUUAACUGUUUAAACUAUCGUGCACGGUGCAGAUGCUUACUAGUAUGCCGAGGUCAUUGCGAUUCUUUGGGGAUUUACUGGAGGCAACCACCACUAAAUGUAGUUAUCUACUACACAAAGGAAAGUGUAAAGCAGACAGAGCAGUAAACUUCAAUGUUUCAAGGGAAAUAUUUAUUCUCGUUGGAAGUGAUUUGGAAAAUAAUUAUAGUCAAAUCACCCCUACUGCAAGCCAAUUAUCAGACUGUAUCACUCACCUGAGCUGAAGACUCAAGAGAGCUUUUCUCAUAAAAAUUUGUCUGGAUUCUGUUGUCAUCAUAGUGGUAAUAAUUUUUCCCAUUUUCAUCUUCUCCAGAACCAAUGGCCCAAUUGAAUGAGAUUCAUUUUCGUUUAAAUGAAAGGUCAUGCCCCCUUUGAAGGGAGAUAAUCAAGAAAAGGCAAAAAUAGGAUGGGGUCAUUUAAUAUAAUGAAAAUAUGCAAGCAAUCCCAGGUUGUGUAGAUUGGAGUUAGUUCAAUUCAUGACCUGGGUGUAGGAUGAGGCUAUAAUAGGGGGUCACAGUUUUAUAAGGGAUAAUAUAAGGAAACAUCUUUAACAAUCCUCUUCUCAAGAAGGGUAUGUCAAUGAUUAGUCAUAUUCAUAUGCAAGGAUCUUCAGGUAGUGUAAAUUUUAUUUUGUUCAAUUCAGAGGCUAAAGAAUUAGGGUAUGGAGGAGAUCAAAGUAUGAUGUGGGAAUAUACAGGAAAUUAAAACAAAUUCUUUUCAAGGUUAACAGGACCACACUAAAUCCUUUCAAACUGCAAAUGUUCCUAAUUUGUGUUGAUUCAUUUUUCCUUUCUAUGCGCCCAUGACUAAAGUCGGGGGGGGGGGGGGGGGGG